CCUGUUUUACAACUUGUGAGAGGAUGGAAAUGAUGCAAUGGGGGUAAAUUCGUACUUCCCAAAGUGUCAGAUCAGAAGGAUCACCUGAGCUUCAUGUGCAGGAUAAAUUCCCAGAAGAUGAAGUUCUGGAAGAAGAGCAGGUGGUCAGCAGUGUGGACCCUGAACCAUACAGUCUGGGUUUGGAUCCAGGUUUUAGCAAUUAUUGCCAGAAGGAAAGGAGUAACCUUAAUGGACCGGUUUACUUACCAACUCUACUGAGAGCCCGAACUUUAGCGACGUGUUAUGUCAAUUAAAAGGACAAGAAAGGAGCUGAAUUUUCAUGAAACGCAUGUCAGCAUUGAGCUGUGCAGAUCGCUUCAUAAGCACUUGUACUGUGCUUAAUUGCUGAGUCAUGUCCGACUCUUUUG